GGCAUAUUGUAUCAAAUUAUUCUCAAAAGGAAGUUAACUGAAAUUCAGUGGGCUGCUUUCAUUCUACUUUGUGCUGGGUGCACCACUGCACAGCUUAAUCCUAGUUCUGAUCAUGUUCUUCAGGCUCCUUUACAAGGUUGGGUUAUGGCUAUUGUAAUGGCCCUUUUGAGUGGUUUUGCCGGAGUUUACACAGAGGCUAUAAUUAAGAAGAGACCGUCAAGAAAUAUA
rnacentral:misc_RNA from 1 species